GAUGAACGCUGGCGGCGUGCCUAAUACAUGCAAGUCGAGCGAACGGACGAGAAGCUUGCUUCUCUGAUGUUAGCGGCGGACGGGUGAGUAACACGUGGAUAACCUACCUAUAAGACUGGGAUAACUUCGGGAAACCGUAGCUAAUACCGGAUAAUAUUUUGAACCGCAUGGUUCAAAAGUGAAAGACGGUCUUGCUGUCACUUAUAGAUGGAUCCGCGCUGCAUUAGCUAGUUGGUAAGGUAACGGCUUACCAAGGCAACGAUGCAUAGCCGACCUGAGAGGGUGAUCGGCCACACUGGAACUGAGACACGGUCCAGACUCCUACGGGAGGCAGCAGUAGGGAAUCUUCCGCAAUGGGCGAAAGACUGACGGAGCAACGCCGCGUGAGUGAUGAAGGUCUUCUGAUCGUAAAACUAUGUUAUUAGGGAAGAACAUAUGUGUAAGUAACUGUGCACAUCUUGACGGUACCUAAUCAGAAAGCCACGGCUAACUACGUG
rnacentral:rRNA from 1 species